rnacentral:lncRNA from 1 species
UGCUCAUUCAUUGUGUGCUUACUGCCUCCAACCGUGUGGGAGGCGUUGCUGGCCCUGAGCGGCGGCAAUGCGAGGGGCGACGGCGGGCCGGUCCCAGCUCCUGCCCGGGAGACCCCGGCUCCGGCGCCCGGGGAAGACUGCAGCGGACGGCCGCUGUCCCCUGCCCUGCCGGCCGGGUAGGCAGCGCCGGCGGCGGCGCUCGCUGAGGGUUUCUUGGUUAACAUGGCCGCUGGAGAGGAGGGAGAGGAAAAUGCAUGUCAGGGCGGCUCUCCUCCGCUUCUCCUCGGCCCCUCUGGGCGGCGGCUGCCUCUCCUCGCCGAUCAGCUACACCCAGCGCCCGACGCGUCCUCCGCCGCAUCCCCCCGGCCCCGGGCCGGCCGGACACAGUCUCCCUCGGCCCGCCGUCUCCUCCCGCCGCAGCCGCAGCAGCAGCAGCCGCGCCGCCGCCGCAGCCCCCGGCCCAAGCUCAUCACCUCCCCCGCCCCCGCCCCGGUCGCCCCGGUCCCCUCGCGCGGAGGAGGGGGCAGCAGAAGGCGGCCGGACAGGGCCCUCCUCCUCGGGCGGCGGAACGAGAACAAACAGCGCACCGAGGGGCAGUGCCCGCCCCGCCGGCCGCCUCCCGUCGCUCCGCUCCUCCCCGCCGCCGCUCCCCCCCCUCCCCCUCCGCGUCCCCGUGCGCUCCCCGCGUCCGCCCGCACUUCGCCUCGGCCCGCUCGCCGCGGGCGCCGAGCGGCGACGCGCCCGGCCCCGCCGCCGCCCGGCAACCGCCCAACGACCGCCCGCGGGGGUGGGGGGAGGGGGGGGCCGAGCCGUUGGUCACCCCCGGGGUCACAGCCAUCUUGGGGCCUGCCCUCAGGGGGUCACCGCGACUGCGGGAGGACAAAGGUGGCACCGCGGGCGGUGGGAGGGUCGGUGCGAGGGGAUCGAAACUUAAACAUGGCGGUGGCGGUGCCUUGGGAGAGCUUCGGGCGUCGGGCCGGAGCGGCCCGUGCCUCCAGCCAGAGGGCGGGAGCGCGGUUGGGGCAGUUACGGCCCCUGCUCUGCGCGCCGCGCGCUGUGCCUCGUGGAGUACAAUGCUUUGAAUUCCUGGUUUGUCAGCUUGAACGUCACGAGUGCCAAAAAUAGAUAGCUGAACAUUUGCUCAGCCCGGGACGGCGUCGAAAUGAACUCUCCUGCCUACGCUCAAACCUUUUGGAAAUCUGUACGGAUCGCGUGUAUUUUCCCUUCCGAAGCAGCCGGUGGGUCUGCAGGCAGACCUCCCUUCAUCCCCUGCCACAGGGAAAGGCAAAAGAAAGAAUCAAUCUCCCCUUUGCCUGUGCCUGAGCAAAAGAAUUCCAUCCCUGCAGCCACAGAGGAAGACUUUGCCUUUUCCAGUGCCACAGAUAAAUGUGUAAACAAAGACGUUUCCUGUGCUGGUACAAAGAAAUAAACACUUUCC